AUCCUUUUCGUAGUUCAUAAGCGUGAUGAUUGGGUUGUUCACGCAAUUGCGUGAGAUGUGCCACCCUCGAAACCUUGUUACGACGCCGGCACAUGACCCGUCUGACG
ensembl:snoRNA small nucleolar RNA, C/D box 13